rnacentral:lncRNA from 1 species
AUGUGUUUUAUGGAUUCCAUUUAUUUCCUAUGUUGGCAUUCUAUCUUGUUCCUCAGCUCCUCUAUUUUUUAAAUCUGUGUCCUCUCUAGAUUUAUUAAUCAUGUCUUGCACUAUGAGCACAAUCUCUGCUGUUAUCUGAGAAAUUAUUUUUGAUUUCACUUUUUCCAGAUCCUCUUUUGUUGCCAGUUCAGGGAUUCCAGGUGGUUGAGUAUCAGAUUGUUCCAUCUCAUUUCCUUUUGGGGUUUUGCUGUAGGUGAUCUGGAAGUCUGAUUUUAAGACUUGUUUCUAUGUCUUCUCAUUUUUCCGGGCACCUUGUGGGCUACUGUUGGCACCUGCACUGCUCACCUCCUCUGCGCUCUGGGAGUGAUGGUACAGCUGCUGGAAGCCCCUUCCUCUGCACUGAGAACGGUGGAACCACGGCCCAGAAGCCCUUACCUCUGUGCUGGGAAUGGUGCUCAGGUGCCUAAAAGGCCAGAGGGAUUUCUCAAGCCGACCUCCUUUUGAUGGAAUCCACAUUGUCAACCAUUUAAUAGGAGAUGAUGAAUCAUUCCAUUCCUCUGAUGAAGAGUUUAUAGAUAAUUCCUUACAGGAAAGUGGCAUUGGUUUUCCUUUGCACAGAUCUGUCCCAAUGUCUUUGGACCCCACUGUGGCAGAUGGUAGUGAGAGUGAAACAGAAGACAGUGUGCUGCAGACCAGAGAGAGCGAUCAAGUGGUUUCAAAGGAGCGGACCCCACGGAGAGAGUCGUAUUCAACCACUGUCUGACCAUCACUGUGACCUAGACUGUGGAUUUCUUUAAGGGAUCAGUUAUCAUAUGAUUAGGGAUUUUUGGAACAUACCUGGUUCAUAUGUACAUAUAUUAUGUUUUACAAUCUUAUCUGCCUUUUAUCUUUGCCAAAUCUUCACCACUGAUUUUCUAUUGCCAGAAAGUAGACUGUAAUACGGUUAAUGAGUAAAAUAAGGUUCUAACAGUAUUACUGAAUAUUGUUUCUUGUUUAUAAAAUGCAACUGUAUCUAAAUGUGGGAGCUGUUUUGAAGUUCAAAACUAUGGAAAAUAUAAUUUUCUCCAGACAAACUGCUCUUGUGCAAUAUUUUAUGCUCUGUGAACAAAUUGUAUAUUUAUGUCUAUUAAUUUGUUUUCAAGGUUGUAGACUACAAACAUUUGAUCAAAAUAGAUACCUGAUUUUCUUGUUUUUUUGUGUUUGGGGGAUAUUUUUUCACUAAAAUUACUAUUUUAUUAGUGACUCAAGGUUCUCAAACACAAAGCUUUUUUUCUGUAUAAUUUUAUAAAUACAACUUAAGUUACCUGUUUUGAAAGUUUUUGUUUCAAUUUCUAAUUUUUAUGUGUGUCUAAUGCUUCCUUGUGUUGGUUACUCGUCAGAGUAAUAGAUUAAAAAUACAUUAUUUGUACAUAUUUAUAACAUUGAACAUCAUUUUAUAUGAGGAACAUAUAUUUGCAAAAUGACUGUUUUGAGCAUUGUAUCAGGAUGUCUGUAAAUAAUAGGUUUUUAAAAACUAAAAAAUCAGACAUUAAUAUUUUAAUAGCUUUAAUGUUUUGCUUAGCAUUCAGCACUACCAGAUUCAUAACCUGUUCAAAAACACUAUUGGUGAUAUCUUCAUGUAUAUGUAGCUAAUCCAUUUUUCAUGAUUAAAGAGGUUAUAGCACAUUAAUUAGUGCUAAUAUUCUACUUACUAUAAUUCAAACAGGCUAAGGUCCAAGAUGCACAGCAAUUAUAUCUGCAAAUCUAUGAACAUUAUCUUAAGAUUGUCUAGUUUCUAUCAAUAGAUAAAGCCAUAAAAAUCCUUUUAAAUUCUUUUGUAUCAUUUACACUUUUUUUUCUUAGAAAAAACUAAAUGCCUGUUAUUAAUAAAUUGGUGGAAAUAACCAAUUAUACUUAUCCUAUGGAAAGACAAAAGGAAUGUAUUGACUGGAUUCUUUCCACUCUCAUUUUCAUUAGCAGCUUGUGAAAAGAACAGCUAUAGACAAUAAGAGGAAAGUAAAAUUCAGUUUAUAUUAAAGUACAGUUUUGCAGAGUAUCAUGUGUACAACAGCAUGCAUGAAACAAUUAUGAUAGAAAGGAGUAGAAGAGACAAAAAUAAUUUCCUAUCUAAAACCAGAAGUUAAGCCUUAUGCUGCAAUGUGGAUUGUUUUUCCAGCAAAGUCUUUGUAGCUAUUUGUCUGCCUGAUAAAUGAGAAGAAAAUAUGGCUUCUGUGUUUAAAUUCUAGUGGUUGAGUUCUAGUGGUUAAAUUCUAUGGUUAAGUAAUUUACCUGUGGUGACAAGCUAGUAAUUAGCAGAGCCAAGAUUUUAAUCCAGAUCUCUCUUGACACCAAAGCUUUUUAAAACAUCCAGUUAAUGAAUUUCUCAGUUCCCUACUGUUCUGACAAUAUGACUUAAAUAAAUUUGAUUUAAAUAUAUUUCCUGAAUGUUUGCACUCAUAAGCUCUACACAGUUUUCAAGUAUAGAUACUACUCCUAGAUUUGAUACUACUUUCUAGAACCAUAGUGCUUUUGGGAUUCUCCUUUGAAAUUCUUUACUGUCAGCCUAGAAGGCUGUUGAUCCCCAAGUAAAGUGAGAUAACACAUAUUAGUGUCUUGAUCCCAACAUCAAGAAACCUGAAUGAGGCUGGAGAUGUAACUCAAUGGUAGAGCACUUGUCUAUCAUGUAAAAGACCCUGAGUUGGUUAUCAUUACUGCAAUAAAUAAAUAUAAUUUGGGUGAACUAUACAGCAAACUGCAGCCCAAGGCUAAUUCCAGUCAGCUGCAUGCUUUUACUUUUUUAAAUAGAAAAAAUUCAAGAGAAUAUUUUGUGACACAUAAAAAUUAUAUAAAAUUAAAAUUUCAAUGUCCUUAAAGUUUACUGGAACACACCCCUACUUAUCUGUUUACCAUAUGUUAUGGCUGAUUUUAUACUAUAAUGGCAGAGUUGAGUAGUUGCGAUGGAGACCAUUUGGCCCACGUAGCAUAAAUAUUUACUCUCUGCCCCUUGACAGAAAAGGUUUGCUAACUCUUGACCUAGCUACUCCAGAGUGUUAUUUUUACUACUUUAGCUGAGCUUAAUAGAAGAUCAAACCAUUUGCUUACUGUUGAGCUAAUGAUUUGAAAUAAUAAAAUUUCCUCAUGGAUCAUACACUGUAGAACAAUUCAAGAUAGAAAGUGUGCCAACUGCUUUAUACACACCUUUGAUUUUUGUUUUGUGGUGUUGGAGAUUGAACCCAGAGCAUCAUUAUGCAUGCUGGGAAGGUACUCUAUCUUUGACCAACAUCUCCAGCCCAGCUAUUUUAUAAGAUGAAGCCUUUGGUUCUAUAAAAAAUCUUGGAAGGACAUCUGUAUGUUUGGAGGAGAAAGAAAGGAAUAAAUUGCAGACUUUUAACACUGUUCUGAAUCAUUCCAUUGAUCAUGAUCUUUAGGAUGUGCUUCAUUGAGUAAAUGUUAAUUUAACUUUAAGAACAUAUUUCUAGAGUCACAUUUGAAUUUUUAAAGAUACUAGAGAAUUUCCUAAGUAUUCUUUCUAGUUAGAAAUUCAGUUUUAAAAGAACAGUGGUAAGGGGCCAGGGAUUUAGCUCAGGGUUCUCACCUGCCUCGCAAGCACAAGGACCUGAGUUCGAUCCCCAGUACCAAAAAAAAAAAAUAGUAAACCUUAAUUUGAUGAUUUUCUUAUAAUUUGGAUAAUGAAAAACUAGAAACACUUCUCAUUUAAGCUCUUUGAUUGAAGGUAGGCACAGUGCCAUGUGCCUUUUUUCUAGCUUUUGGGAGGCUGAGGCAAGAAGGUCACUUGAGUCCCACGAUUCAAGACUAUCCUGGGCAACAUGCUGAGAUCACAUUUCAAAAUACACUUUAGAAGAAUUUUAAAUCUCCCUGGCUUUUAGGAUGCAACUGGACAAUAUGCCCUGGUUUGACUCCAUUUCAUUCAAGUUAAUGUAAAUAUGUCAUUAAAGACAUUUGGGGAUUGGAUUAUGUUCUAAUAUAUUUUAAUCUCUGAUUUUUUGGUUUCAUUUAAAUGUUAUUCACUUAGCAUUGAAAAGUAUUAUGGGGAAAGUGAAUGAAAUGACUCAAUAGAAAAGCAUGUUCCCUUGGGAUAGUUUACCUUCCUGGUAUCAUUGCCACCCUAGGUUCAUAAACUGAGAGUAGAAACCACAAUGAUCUGAGUAAGUGGAAAUUGUAUUGAAGUAAUGAAACAGUUCAAGAAAACACAUCAACAGACUUUUAAAAAAUUAUGGCAAACGUUUUUCUUAGAAAAAUGGGCAAAGGUACAACUUUACACAAUUUCUAAUUUUUUUUUCCUAGAUAAUAGCCAUUCAGCAUUUAGUAAGACGUCAAGUUUAAUUAACUGGCCAGUUACUUUUCCUCAGCUCUGAACAUGAUGCAGCUUGUUACUCUCCAGAUAGUGCCUUUGAUUGAAAAUAAGGUCUAGACGUUUUGGAGUAUAUUAUUUCUGACAUCAUAAGAAAUCAUUUGGUCCCUAAUUUCUCAUUUACAUAAUAUACUGUAAUAUUCAGAUUUAAAGUAAAAUAAAUACAUGAAUUGUUUUGGUAAAGUUCUUUCAUGAUGAGCUUGACUGUUGUAUCAUACCAGGCAUUGACAACAUUUCGUGAAAUCAGUGAUUUACUUUUUAAAACAAUGAGUUUUAGGUUGAAAGUUCUGCUGCUUUACAUUAACAAAAUGUUUUUAAAAUAAUUCAUUUUCAUUUAAUUCUACUGAAAUUAUAGAAAUUAAAAUUUCUAGUUAAAAGUAGAGUGAAUGCUAUUUAUAAUCCAAGUUUUUAUAUCACAUCCAUUGAUCUACACAUCGCUUUUCACUCCAAAGAAGAGUUGCUAGAAUAAUAUAUUCAGUAUACUACAGAGAUGCAAAGUUACAAUGUAUUUCAUUUUGCUGUUGGAAUUUUUUUAUUAUAACAUUGUAUGAUAACCUGAAAUGUUUACUUGUGCCUUUGCUUUAAACAAUUAAAGUUUUCCAUUUUAUAAGCAUUUGGUUCCUUAAACCAUUCAACUUUAAAAGGGGAAGAGACUUCAAAACACUUGUUAAGGAAUGUUUGGCCUAUCGAGAGAUUUGUCUUAGUGGGGUGUAAGAUUUGCAUUUGUGCUGUGUAAGUGCAGGGACUAAUCCACCAGUGUACGCCACCCACAUGUUUAUGCCAAACAGAGACUCUGGAACACAACUGGCAUUCAGUAAAUAUUUUUCAAUUUCAGUUAAGGACAGAUGUCUAGAUUUGUUUUCUUUGGGAGCAUGGUAACUUUUUGAAAAUAUCAGUGGCAAUAAUUUUAUCUCCUGUAAUACUUUAAGAUAUUAACUAAUUCAAUAAAUGCAUUCAAGUGUGCAUGCUUUUAAUAUGCAUAUGGAAGGCACUAUGAAAAUUAUGCCUCUGCCACUGUAUCACAUUGUUCAUAUCGUUUAGUUCACAAACAGUAGUUCACUCUGUUCUGCUCUGUGCCUGAGAGGAUUUGAAGCACUUUAUGAAGAUACAUGAAAUAUUACAAUGUAGCUAUAUAGUCCAGGGUUUC